AAUAAGGUGGACUGAAGUUAUUAGGCGGUAAAUUGUAAAUUUAUUCAUGGUCUGUUGACCCCUUAUUA
rnacentral:tRNA from 1 species